GCCCGUGUGGGCUCAGUGGUAGAGCACACCCUUGGAAGGGUGGAGGUCACUCAGUUCAAUCCUGAUCACGGGCU
rnacentral:tRNA from 1 species